UGGUGGGUAGUUUGACUGGGGCGGUCUCCUCCCAAAGCGUAACGGAGGAGCACGAAGGUGGGCUAAUCACGGUUGGACAUCGUGAGGUUAGUGCAAUGGCAUAAGCCCGCUUGACUGCGAGAAUGACAAUUCGAGCAGGUGCGAAAGCAGGUCAUAGUGAUCCGGUGGUUCUGAAUGGAAGGGCCAUCGCUCAACGGAUAAAAGGUACUCCGGGGAUAACAGGCUGAUACCGCCCAAGAGUUCAUAUCGACGGCGGUGUUUGGCACCUCGAUGUCGGCUCAUCACAUCCUGGGGCUGAAGUCGGUCCCAAGGGUAUGGCUGUUCGCCAUUUAAAGUGGUACGCGAGCUGGGUUUAGAACGUCGUGAGACAGUUCGGUCCCUAUCUGCCGUGGGCGUUGGAGAAUUGAAAGGGGCUGCUCCUAGUACGAGAGGACCGGAGUGGACGAACCUCUGGUGUUCGGGUUGUGUCGCCAGACGCAUUGCCCGGUAGCUAAGUUCGGGAUCGAUAACCGCUGAAAGCAUCUAAGCGGGAAGCGAGCCUUGAGAUGAGUUCUCCCUGAUACUUUAAGUAUCCUAAAGGGUUGUCGUAGACUACGACGUUGAUAGGCAGGGUGUGUAAGCGUUGUGAGGCGUUGAGCUAACCUGUACUAAUUGCCCGUGAGGCUUAACCAUACAACACCCAA
rnacentral:rRNA from 1 species